AUGCCGAAUUACGGUGUUUGCACCCCUGACGACAUCAAUGUGUUCCCAGAGCCCAUCAUGGGCGAUGAGCCGACACCAGCCGAAAUGAUGGAUGAGGAGUACUACUUGUAUCGUGACCAAGGAUCCGAUAAUGAUGCAUUCGAGGAUGACGAGGAAGCUAGCAUGACUUCUUUUAUAUCUGGCGAGGUUGAUCCAUUAGACUGUGUGUACACAAACAUACCAGACCACACCCACAUCCUGAAGCUCGACACAAACUGCAAACACUGCAAGGCCAUAAAGUUUGUUUCUGAGACUGACGGAUUCUGCUGUCGCAAUGGAUAG
rnacentral:rRNA from 1 species